CUCUAGGAGAGUGAGUCAAUAAGCUUUUUAGGGAGUAUCCUUUCUUCAGAGUCAUCUAGAGAAUGACUGAGGGGACAGACCUCAAGUAUAUCUGUAUACAUACAUAUACCCACACACACACACUCCUCACAGACACACACACCCUAUACAUACACACACUCCACACAUACACUCCACACAUAUACCCACCCACAUACACUCCACAUACACACACCCUACACACGUACAUUACACACAUACACCCCACCUCUUCAUAUACCUUUCAUACACAUACAGCACACACACACACCCCUUACACGCACACCCUAUACACACAUGCUGCACACGUACACACUCCACACAUACACCCACACCCAUUCCACAUACACAAACACCCAACACCCACUCUACACAUAUGCCCACACCCAUUCCACAUACACACACAUCCCACACACACACACUCCACACAUACACCCACACACACUCAUAACCCUCCCACACACAUCUGCAAGCUCCCACACACCGACACCCACAACCCACACCCCACUACACACAUACACCCACACUCCAACACAUCCCCUCCAAACAUACACCCACACACCUUCCCCCCCCACACAAA
rnacentral:lncRNA from 1 species